GGCUCUGUAGCUCAGUUGGUAGAGCGUACGACUGAAAAUCGUGAGGUCAACGGAUCGAUGCCGUUCGGAGCCACCA
rnacentral:tRNA from 1 species